CCAAAGGCCCUCUUUAGGGCCACCAAUCCUUUCUUUUUAUCUUAAG
rfam:Strongyloides stercoralis strain PV0001 genome assembly, scaffold: SSTP_contig0000033